rnacentral:miRNA from 1 species
CUUGAGCUCAGGAGUUUGAGGCUGCUGUGAGCUAUGAUCUUGCCACUGAACUCCAGCCUGAGUGACAGAGCAAGACCUGUCU